AUGUUCAGAUAUAUCUGGGUUUGGCUUCAAGCCUUGUUCGGAUAUGUCAAGGUUUGGCCUCCUGAGGCUCAUGAUUCUGCCUGGCUCGGGGCAGCGCAGGCGAUGGAGGAGGAGCCGGUUACUGUUUCGCUCGGCCCCAUUGGCCCUCUCUUCCAGCAACUCCGUUCUGUGAUUGCUGCCCUCCAAGCCAACAGUGAUCGGCUCAAGCUCAAGGGGGUUAAGGCCCAGAUCCAGAUUCUCGGCCAAGAACUGGAGUGGCUAUGCAUCGACCUCAAGGGCAGAUCGGAGACGCCGGCAGACGCCAUCACCAUGUGCUGGAUGAAGCAGGUCCGGGAUCUGUGCUAUGAUACGGCGGACUACCUCGACGAGCUCGUGCACUUCAUCCACUGCUCCUCCGGUACCCGCCGCCGUAGGAUUAGGGUCCGUCUUUUUGGGGGGAAUAAUCGUCCUGUUGGAUCCAAGACCUAUCGGAUGUCCAGGAAGCUCACCUGGCUUUCCUUGCCAAAGGUGAAGAAAUUGAAGCGAGCGCCCUUGAUUGCAAAAUUGACAGCACUGGCAGCCCGUGUCGAGGAUGCGGAUGAAAGACGCAAAAGAUUCAAGUUCUCUUCACCCACACCCAGCAAACCUGACUAUGGACAAGCAGCUGUUCUCAUGCCCCAGAUUACCACCCCCGAACUCCACAUCGACAAGGUCUACAAGCUGCUGGACUUGGAUGGCAAUGAGAUGGAGAAAAAUCUCAAGGUGGUAACUAUCUUUGGAUCUGCCGGUGUUGACAAAACAGCAAUUGCCAGGACCUUGUAUCACCAGCAUGGAGGGAGGUUCCAGCACCGGGCUUUCAUCCGGGUCACUCGAGAUCCCGAUAUGAGGAGGCUUCUCACCGACAUGCUCUCACAAAUAAAGGCGCCACCGGCAAAUCAAUUUUCUAAUGUCCGAGAACUUAUAGUCCACAUCACCAAACAUCUGCAAGGAAAAAGGUACUUAAUUAUAGUAGAUGACCUAUGGACCACGUCAACCUGGGAUAUUAUCAUCCGAGCUCUUGCUGAUGGUGAUUAUUGCAGAAUAAUAACAACAACACAGGUUGAGGAUGUAGCCCUGGCAUGCUGCAGUUAUCAGUUAAAGCAUAUAUAUGAGAUUACUCCUCUUAAUGACGAUCAAUCAGGAAAAUCUGAGGGCAGUUGUACCACAUAUCCUAGUUCCAAAAGGAUGAAAGAAGCUCUAAACCUUGAGUAUAAUAAUCUCCCACCCCGUUUGAAGACUUGCUUGUUAUAUCUGAAUAUGUAUCCCGAGGGAUACACGGUCUGGAAGGAUGAAUUGGUGAAGCAAUGGUUAGCUGAAGGUUUCAUCGGCUCUGUACAAGGACAAGACAUAGAGGAUACUGCAGGUUACUAUUUUGAUGCUCUCAUCAGUAGUGGACUGGUCCAAUCUGUGGAUACCAAUCAUAAUGGUGAUGUGUUGUCAUGUACACUUCACCACAUGGUACUGGAUCUUAUAAGACAAAAAUCCAUGGAGGAGAAUUUCGUCACUAUUGUGAAUUAUUUUCAAACAAUUCUUGGACUUUCGGACAAGGUUCGUCGACUGUCUGUCCAGUUGGGAGGUGCAAAAGGUGCAAAUAAUAUACCAGAGAAUAUGAGAAUAUCCCAAGUUAGAUCACUUCUAUUUUCUGGAUUCUUCAAAUGUGCACCUUCCAUUGUGCAUUAUGGGCUUCUUCAAGUUUUAGUUCUUCAUAUUUGGUCUGAUAAAGAUGAGAUUUUUGAUCUGGCUACAAUUGGUGAGCUAUAUCGAUUGAGAUAUCUGAAGAUUGAGUGUAAUAUCACUAUCAAGCUUCCGGGCAACAUUCAAAGGCUGCGACACUUGGGUACUUUGCAAGUAGAUUCAAGAUUAUCUUCUGUUCCGUCUGGUAUUGUUCAACUGGAGAAGUUGUUGCACCUCUGCCUUCCGAGUGAGUCUAUUCUGCCUCAUGGGGUUGGCCGAAUGACAUGUCUUCGCACUCUGGGGUAUUUUGAUCUCGGCCGUAACUCAGAAGAUAAUCUGAGGGAUCUUGGUGAGCUGAUAAAUCUCCAGGAUCUUCAGCUGACCCGUUCUACAGCACAGCCUGCUGACAGUCUUGAAAAUAAUAUGCAACUCCUGGGCUCAGUUCUUAAGAAACUCAGCAUCCUGCAGUCUGUAACUCUUCUACCCACUGCAGAAUCCUCUAAUGUAUAUACUCUGAAGGAUGAAGCUCAUGUUUCAAGGAUGCGCAUUUCCUGUGACGGCUUGUGCAUGGUGUCCCCUGCCCCAGCCCAUCUUCAGAGAAUCGAGUUGUCGUAUCGCUGUUGCAUCUUCUCCAAACUCCCCAAGUGGCUUGGAGAACUCACCAAACUCCGCAUUCUUAAGAUUGCAGUUGGGGAGCUAUCAAAGGAAAAUAUUAAUAUACUGAAAGUACUACCUGCUCUUGCAGCGCUGUCGUUGCAUUUACCGACAAUGACUGCAGAAAGGAUUGUCUUUGGCAAGGGAGGAUUCAAAGUUCUCACAUACUUCAAGUUCAAGUGCACUGUGCCUUGGCUAAAAUUUGAAGCAGAUGCAAUGCCUAUUCUCGGGAAGCUCAAGCUGAGCUUCAAUUCCCCGAUAGUGGAUGAACAAGGAGCUACACCUAUCAUCAUCGAGCACUUGUCAUCAGGAAUUAAAGAGAUCUCUGCAAAAAUUUGUUGUAGAGGCGUUAAUGCAAGGUCUGCCUUGCUGAAAGCCAUUAGAAAUGAUCCAGGAAAUCCUGAGGUGCAAUUGAGGGGUCCCAUCUAUUAUGAUGACAAAGGUAGAGGAAUGGUGACACGUGAAGGCUCAAGGGAAGAUGAGAACAAUGAAGUUCAUAGCGGUUCAUAUGCUGCCGAAGUCCUCACGUCUACCUGUUCCUGCAAUACACAGCAGGGUAGAAGAACUGGAAGAUAG
rnacentral:rRNA from 1 species